rnacentral:tmRNA from 1 species
UUGCUCGCUAUUUUCAUCUACAAUACUUAUAAUAGGAGGUGCAGGGCUUGCCCUGAUAUGACGCUAAACGUGGUUACGGAAUAAGCGUUGUGGACCCGGGGGCAGUACCCGGCAGCUCCACCACUUUAUAUGCUUUGCAUAGCAAAGCUGUUUUUCGCGAAAACGAUUUCGCGGCCCUGCCGUCGCAAGGCUUUGAUCGGAAAGUGAAAAACAGGCGUAUAAAGCGGCGGGGCUGAAACAGGAUCGACACACGUAGUAAAGGUUUCAUGCGGCGUUCGGCUUUCCGCCGUUAUCGGGAAAAUUUAAUAACUGCAAACGAUAAUGCGCAGUUCGUAGCCGCUAACGACAACUUUGUUGUUGAAGGUGACAUCGCUAUUGCUGCCUAAUUGGGCCGCGUAGCAUAGCUACAUCAAUUCCUCUUUCAUUGAACCGUUAGAGGUGGGGUUUGGUUCACACCUCGCAACAGAAGUGAACCAUU